rnacentral:rRNA from 1 species
UACAGAGGAGCCAAGCGUUGUCCGGAUUGACUGGGCGUAAAGCGCACGCAGGCGGCACCGCGCGUGGGGUGUGAAAUCUGCCGCUUAACGGCCAGGCGCCAUCCCAUACGGCGGAGCUGGAGCGAUGCAGAGGUCGGUGGAAUUGCCGGUGUAGUGGUGAAAUGCGUAGAGAUCGGAGCAGACCAGGACCCAGGGCAACGAUCGGACUGGA